rnacentral:tRNA from 1 species
AGUAAGAUGGCUGAGUGAUUGAUAGGCGCUAAACUGUAAAUUUAGAGAGGAAAAAUAAUUCUCUUGCUA